UUUUCCACUCUUUCUUCUUCAUUUUUCCAUUCUUAAUUUCUUCUCCAUUUUAAUUGGUUUGUUCUUGUGUUUGUGUAUGUAUUGAAAAAUGGUAUUGUGGUUGUAUGGUUUUGCUUGGACUUGAGGUGAAGGGGAAGUUUGUGAUUGAGCCUAAGGAUUAGGAGGAAAUUUUGCUAGAGGAUGAUAGCAUUUGAGGAUUUGAUGGAAGUGACUCGUUUUUGAGAGCGCGAUGUAGAGCUAGUUGCCAUUGGAAUUGUCUCUUGGUUUAAACGGAUUAGUUUAGAAUCCAAAUUGUUGUAUUAUAGUAGAUUUUUAAUCUAGAUAGGAAAUUGUUGUAAUAUAGAUUGUAGUUAGAAAGCUUGUAGCCUGUGCGUUUGGGUUUAGUGAGUGGCCCGAACGUGGCAUAACACCCCCGUGGUUAUAGUUUGGUGUUGCUUCCGCAUUUAUUUUAAAUAUGCUUAGUAAGAAAGAUAGUUUGUUUUGGAGUA